AACCCAAACUAAUAGAUCCACGGCGUAAAGCGUGUUACAGAGAAAAAUAUACUAAAGUUAAACCUUAACUAGGCUGUAAAAAGCUACAGUUAACAUAGAAAUACAGCACGAAAGUAACUUUAAUAUCUCCGACCACACGAUAGCUAAGACCCAAACUGGGAUUAGAUACCCCACUAUGCUUAGCCCUAAACUCAGAUAGUUAAUCCAAACAAAACUAUCCGCCAGAGAACUACCAGCAACAGCUUAAAACUCAAAGGACUUGGCGGUGCUUCACAUCCCUCUAGAGGAGCCUGUUCUAUAAUCGAUAAACCCCGAUAUACCUCACCAUCUCUUGCUAAUC
rnacentral:rRNA from 1 species